rnacentral:rRNA from 1 species
ACGCUGGCGGCGUGCUUAACACAUGCAAGUCGAACGGGAUCCAUCAGGCUUUGCUUGGUGGUGAGAGUGGCGAACGGGUGAGUAAUGCGUGACCGACCUGCCCCAUACACCGGAAUAGCUCCUGGAAACGGGUGGUAAUGCCGGAUGCUCCGACUCCUCGCAUGGGGUGUCGGGAAAGAUUUCAUCGGUAUGGGAUGGGGUCGCGUCCUAUCAGGUAGUCGGCGGGGUAACGGCCCACCGAGCCUACGACGGGUAGCCGGCCUGAGAGGGCGACCGGCCACAUUGGGACUGAAAUACGGCCCAAACUCCUACGGGAGGCAGCAGUGGGGAAUAUUGCACAAUGGGCGCAAGCCUGAUGCAGCGACGCCGCGUGCGGGAUGACGGCCUUCGGGUUGUAAACCGCUUUUGAUCGGGAGCAAGCCUUCGGGUGAGUGUACCUUUCGAAUAAGCACCGGCUAACUACGUGCCAGCAGCCGCGGUAAUACGUAGGGUGCAAGCGUUAUCCGGAAUUAUUGGGCGUAAAGGGCUCGUAGGCGGUUCGUCGCGUCCGGUGUGAAAGUCCAUCGCUUAACGGUGGAUCUGCGCCGGGUACGGGCGGGCUGGAGUGCGGUAGGGGAGACUGGAAUUCCCGGUGUAACGGUGGAAUGUGUAGAUAUCGGGAAGAACACCAAUGGCGAAGGCAGGUCUCUGGGCCGUUACUGACGCUGAGGAGCGAAAGCGUGGGGAGCGAACAGGAUUAGAUACCCUGGUAGUCCACGCCGUAAACGGUGGAUGCUGGAUGUGGGGCCCGUUCCACGGGUUCCGUGUCGGAGCUAACGCGUUAAGCAUCCCGCCUGGGGAGUACGGCCGCAAGGCUAAAACUCAAAGAAAUUGACGGGGGCCCGCACAAGCGGCGGAGCAUGCGGAUUAAUUCGAUGCAAACGCGAAGAACCUUACCUGGGCUUGACAUGUUCCCGACAGCCGUAGAGAUAUGGCCUCCCUUCGGGGCGGGUUCACAGGUGGUGCAUGGUCGUCGUCAGCUCGUGUCGUGAGAUGUUGGGUUAAGUCCCGCAACGAGCGCAACCCUCGCCCUGUGUUGCCAGCACGUCAUGGUGGGAACUCACGGGGGACCGCCGGGGUCAACUCGGAGGAAGGUGGGGAUGACGUCAGAUCAUCAUGCCCCUUACGUCCAGGGCUUCACGCAUGCUACAAUGGCCGGUACAACGGGAUGCGACACGGCGACGUGGAGCGGAUCCCUGAAAACCGGUCUCAGUUCGGAUUGGAGUCUGCAACCCGACUCCAUGAAGGCGGAGUCGCUAGUAAUCGCGGAUCAGCAACGCCGCGGUGAAUGCGUUCCCGGGCCUUGUACACACCGCCCGUCAAGUCAUGAAAGUGGGUAGCACCCGAAGCCGGUGGCCUAACCCUUUGUGGAUGGAGCCGUCUAAGGUGAGACUCGUGACUGG